rnacentral:rRNA from 1 species
CCUACGGGAGGCAGCAGUGGGGAAUAUUGCACAAUGGGGGAAACCCUGAUGCAGCGACGCCGCGUGAGUGAAGAAGUAAUUCGUUACGUAAAGCUCUAUCAUCAGGGAAGAAAUACUUACCUUACGGUCAGCAGACGGUACCUGCUUAAGAAGCCCCGGCUAACUACGUGCCAGCCGCCGCGGUAAUACGUAGGGGGCAAGCUUUAUCUGGAUUGACUGGGUGGAAAGGGAGCGUAGAAAGUGCGACAAGUCUGGAGUGAAAUGCCGCAGCUUAACUGCGGCACUGCUUUGGAAACUGGCGAACUAGAGGGCGGGAGGGGGAAGAGGAAUUCCCAGUGUAGCGGUGAAAUGCGGAGAUAUUAGGAGGAACACCGGUGGCGAAGGCGGCUCACUGGAACGUAACUGACGUUGAGGC